AACAAUACGGCAUAAUGAACGGCUGACGAAGUAUAAUACGCGGCAUGAACGGAUAGUUGAGGGACCGGUGGUUAUCAGUUCAUUCCUUAAAAUUCCGAAACGAGUCCAGCUUUUCGGGGGUGUGAUAUCGCUUUCUGUUUAACCAACUUGCCAUAUACGGUUGUUACCUGCGCGAAAUAGACGUGGUGUGUGGGAAGUUAGGCAUUCCAAUGGCACGCCCGUGACCAAUGGUUCCACAGGAUAGAGACGGGAGACGAAGAAAGCGAUUCUCACCUUAGGGGUUAGAGGGAGAAGAAAAUAUGGGUAAAGGAGACAAGAGGGGUAUCGCGCAGCGUAGCGAUGCUAUGCUAGUAUCACGACCGGCAUACUUCAAAUCCGAUGGACCGAUGAUGGAGAUAAAGAUGUGGCGGCCUUGG
rnacentral:misc_RNA from 1 species